GUGCUAAGAAUAAACCCAAGGGGGCUGUGAUGGAAAGGGGCUGACCACAGAGGCCUGAACAACAAGGACUGUCUCCUAUUAGAAAGGACCCCCAAACCUGCUUGGUGAGCUGAACAAACCAGGACUGAAGAUAGACCCCAGUACUGGGACCUCACAGGGGGUGUCUGAAUCUCCUGAGCAUCAGGGAUUGGGGACAGGAAUAAGACAACCCCCAGGUACACCACUGGUUUCCUGGCCUCUAACUCUCUUCUGGAUGUUUUGGCAGGCCCUGGUUCCACAUUGGCUUGUCUCCUCCCCUAAAUAUCCCCCUUCUGAUCUGUGAUGUCACAAAUUGAGGAUUAACCUUUUUGUGCAGAGCCAGGUGGGCCCUGCAAAUAUUUUGUUUUUU
rnacentral:lncRNA from 1 species